rnacentral:rRNA from 1 species
AUUGAACGCUGGCGGCAGGCCUAACACAUGCAAGUCGAGCGGGGACUUCGGUCCUAGCGGCGAACGGGUGAGUAAUGCUUGGGAAUCUGCCCAGUAGUGGGGGAUAACGUCCCGAAAGGGACGCUAAUACCGCAUACGUCCUACGGGAGAAAGAGGGGGAUCUUCGGACCUCUCGCUAUUGGAUGAGCCCAAGUCGGAUUAGCUAGUUGGUAGGGUAAUGGCCUACCAAGGCGACGAUCCGUAGCUGGUCUGAGAGGAUGAUCAGCCACACUGGAACUGAGACACGGUCCAGACUCCUACGGGAGGCAGCAGUGGGGAAUAUUGGACAAUGGGCGAAAGCCUGAUCCGGCCAUGCCGCGUGUGUUAAGAAGGCCUUCGGGUUGUAAAGCACUUUAAGCGGGGAGGAAGGUUCGCGGCCUAAUACGUCGCGGAAUUGACGUUACCCGCAGAAUAAGCACCGGCUAACUCUGUG